rnacentral:lncRNA from 1 species
CAGAUCUGCUAAUAUUUUUUAAGGAAGAUUACUUUGCCAAAAAUAAAAAAAAGGAAGAAAGUAAGCAAUAUAAAGUGGAAGCUAAGUUAAGAGAUAAACAAGAGCAAGAAGAAAAACAAAAAGUUAGCAGAAGAUGCUGAAAUGAAAACUUUAGGAGAUUGGAUGUUUGUUGAAAUUUUUGGGUGACUUAGAUGAUCAGACCUGUAGAAAAGAUCUGCACAUCCUUUUUCAAAUCAUGGUGAAAUAAAAUGGAUAGAAUUUGUCAGAGGAGCAAAAGAGGGAAUUAUUCUCUUAAAAGAAAAAGCCAAGGAAGCACUGGAUAAAGCCAAAGACGCACACAAUGUUAAGUUACAAUUAAGGAACAA